AUUGAACGCUGGCGGCAGGCCUAACACAUGCAAGUCGAACGAGUGGCGGACGGGUGAGUAAUGUCUGGGAAACUGCCCGAUGGAGGGGGAUAACUACUGGAAACGGUAGCUAAUACCGCAUACCAUCGGAUGUGCCCAGAGGGGAUUAGCUUGUAGGUGAGGUAACGGCUCACGUAGGCGACGAUCCCUAGCUGGUCUGAGAGGAUGACCAGGAAAACUGGAACUGAGACACGGUCAAGACUACUACGGGAGGCAGCAGUGUGGAAUAGUGCACAAUGGGUGCAAGCCUGAUGCAGCCAUGCCGCGUGUAUGAAGAAGGCCGUAGGGUUGUAAAGUACUGUCAGCGGGGAGGCGUUACCCGCAGAAGAAGAAACGGCUAACUCCGUGCCAGCAGCCGCGGUAAUAC
rnacentral:rRNA from 1 species